rnacentral:lncRNA from 1 species
GCCUUCUUCUCACAGACCCUUCUCCAGCCAAUAGAAACUAGGGAGGAUGUAGUGGGGGUCUUGAAAAUGUGUUCGGUGGCCCCAAGGCCGCCCUACAUUAGUGUUUACUGCAGCCACGCCCUUGUCCUAUGGAUCUGGCGACCGGUUUCCCAGAAGCCAGAGAGGGAGGCUUCAGGGGGUUCCCCAUGGACCAUAUUCCAGGAAGGAGAUUGCUCCCUUGAAAAUCCGUCAUUCCUAAAAGACUGCGAACUGCACCUCAAGAAACCCAGCAAGGAACAGAUAGUCUUCCCAAGGAAGAAGGUGUGAAGAGGGUAGAUUCCCCACUAGGAAUCUGUGAAUCUGCCAGAUAGAGCUGCCUUCCGUCAGUCCUGGCUCUUGGGCACUUCAGCUGGGCUGUGAGUAAUAGCUAAGUGGACAACCUGGGGGAAGUCUGGUUGUGGCUUCCUGUGCCAAGUCUGCAGGCAAAAGUUGGAGUUGUCUUCUUUUGACCUGAGAAAGGGAUGCCA